rnacentral:rRNA from 1 species
UAAGCCUGCAUGUCUAAGUAUAAGCAAUUAUACAGCGAAACUGCGAAUGGCUCAUUAUAUAAGUUAUCGUUUAUUUGAUAGUGCCUUACUACUUGGAUAACCGUGGUAAUUCUAGAGCUAAUACAUGCUACAAGCCCUGACUUCGGAAGGGGCGUAUUUAUUAGAUUAAAAACCAACGCCCUCUGGGCUCCUUGGUGAAUCAUGAUAACUUCACGAAUCGCACGGCCUUGCGCCGGCGAUGGCUCAUUCAAAUUUCUUCCCUAUCAACUUUCGAUGUUUGGGUAGUGGCCAAACAUGGUUGCAACGGGUAACGGAGGGUUAGGGCUCGACCCCGGAGAAGGAGCCUGAGAAACGGCUACUACAUCCAAGGAAGGCAGCAGGCGCGCAAAUUACCCAAUCCCGACUCGGGGAGGUAGUGACAAUAAAUACUGAUACAGGGCUCUUUCGGGUCUUGUAAUCGGAAUGAGUACAAUUUAAAUCCCUUAACGAGGAACAAUUGGAGGGCAAGUCUGGUGCCAGCAGCCGCGGUAAUUCCAGCUCCAAUAGCGUAUAUUAAAGUUGUUGUGGUUAAAAAGCUCGUAGUUGAACCUUGGGCCUGGCUGGCCGGUCCGCCUCACCGCGUGUACUGGUCCGGCCGGGCCUUUCCCUCUGUGGAACCUCAUGCCCUUCACUGGGUGUGCAGGGGAAACAGGACUUUUACUUUGAAAAAAUUAGAGUGCUCCAGGCAGGCCUAUGCUCGAAUACAUUAGCAUGGAAUAAUAAAAUAGGACGUGCGGUUCUAUUUUGUUGGUUUCUAGGACCGCCGUAAUGAUUAAUAGGGACAGUCGGGGGCAUCAGUAUUCAAUUGUCAGAGGUGAAAUUCUUGGAUUUAUUGAAGACUAACUACUGCGAAAGCAUUUGCCAAGGAUGUUUUCAUUAAUCAGGAACGAAAGUUAGGGGAUCGAAAACGAUCAGAUACCGUUGUAGUCUUAACCAUAAACUAUGCCGACUAGGGAUCGGACGAUGUUAUUUUUUGACUCGUUCGGCACCUUACGAGAAA